ensembl:lncRNA
CUAGUUUGCAUUCUUAAAGUCAACCACAUUAACUGAGGGCAAGAACAUUGAAUCAGACUUAUGGGUAGCAACUUUGUGAUAAGACCACAGGAUCUUUGGGAAGGUGCAAGAGAAUACAGAGUAAAUUACUGUGUCCCAGUCCAAGCUUAUUGUUUCAGAAUAAAUGGAGUUUGGGAUACAUAUCUGCCAUAGAUUUUUACAAUCUUCAAUUGUUUUGUUGGCUGCCUUUGCAUCUAUUAAUACCUAAUAAGGUUGCUUAAAAAGUAGUUUGAAAGAGAAGUUGCUCAGUCAUAUCCGACUCUUUGAGAUCCCAUGGACUGUAGUCUACCAGGCUUCUCUGUCCCUGGGAUUUUCCAGGCAAGAGUACUGGAGUGGGUUGCCAUUAGGAAAGAGAGAGUAUCACAAAGAGAUGGAGAGGACUUUUGGGGCCAGUCAAAAUGAGAUCUUGGAACCAAGCUUGUGAAUCUGAAUGUGCAUGAAAGCUGGACAACUACUGAGCUCCUGUGUGUGGUUAGCAGGAAGCUGACAACCACAAGCUGGGUAGGUGCUACUGCGAAGCCCACACCUAAUAAUAGAACCUAGAUAGCCAGGAGGUAAAAGCCAUAGCUAGCUCUACACCUUGGGGUCUCAGUCUGUAUAGCGAUUGUGCUACUGAGCUGGCUGGCUGGAGGGCGUGAGAACACCAGCCAUAGCCCCAGCCCAGGGUGGAGUGCUUGUUUGGGGCAGGGGGAACUUAGACACGAUUAUAGAGAGCCCUCUGAGAUUUUAUGCAGAAUUUUGUGUAUGUAUUUUAUGCAGACUUUCAUGGUGAGAAGUGGUACUCAGCAGAGAGGCCUUAGCUACUGCCCAACAGCGAUUCCAUUGAGACCACCCAUCUUGAGCUUAGAAUUAACUCUGAUUUUAAAUCUUGUUUAAGGGUUUUUUUCAUGAGAGAUCUUGACUCUUAAGUGAUAUUAAUUUCUUCUUGGCAGUAUUUGAUCACAGUAUUUAAAAUAUAAAUGCCAUGUAAAUAAGACUUUAAUAUAAUCGAUGACUCACUUUGAAACUUUUCAUUUUUGAAGUAUGUUUGGGCUGCAGUGG